rnacentral:misc_RNA from 1 species
UCCCCGUUACCGGGGCAGUCUGGCUAGAAAAAUUCAACUAACCAUAGGGGUUGCGCUCGUUGAUGGACUUAACCAAACAUCUCACGACACGAGCUGACGACGGCCAUGCAUCACCUGUCACUGGGUUCCAAAGGCACAGUUUCCUUUCGGAAACCUUCCCAGGAUGUCAAGCCUUGGUAAGGUUCUUCGCUUAUCGUCGAAUUAAACAACACGCUCCACCGCUUGUGCGGGUCCCCGUCAAUUCCUUUAUGUUUUAGCCUUGCGGCCGUACUCCACAGGCGGGAUGCUUAACGCGUUAGCUUCGCUACUGACCGGGUCGAUACGGCCAACAGCUAGCAUCCAUCGUUUACGGCGUGGACUAC